rnacentral:tRNA from 1 species
GCCCUGGUGGUUCAGUGGUAGAAUUCUCACCCUCCAUGUGGGAGACCCGGGUCCAAUUCCCAGCCAGUGCA